rnacentral:tRNA from 1 species
GGGCUCGUAGCUCAGCUGGUUAGAGCGCACCCCUGAUAAGGGUGAGGUCGGAGGUUCGAGUCCCCCCGGGCCCA